rnacentral:tRNA from 1 species
GGUAGUGUAUGCAAGCGGACAAAGCAGGCUGACUGUAAAUCAGUGACUUCGGUUUCGUGGGUUCGAAUCCCUCCUCUACCA